AAAGUGCUGGGAUUACAGGCUUGAGCCACCGCGCCCGGCAAGAGAUGGGGUUUCACCGUGUUAGCCAGGACGGUCUCGAACUCCUGACCUCGUGAUCCGCCCGUCUCGGCCUCCCAAAGUGCUGGGAAUACAGGCUUGAGCCACCGCGCCCGGCCGUUUUCGUCUUUUUAGUAGAGAAAGGGUUUCAUCUUGUUGGCCAGGCUGGUUUCGAACUCCUGGCCUCAAGUGAUCCACCUGCCUCAGCCCCACAAAGUGCUGGGAAUACAGGCGUGAGUCACCGCGCCCAGCCCUACUUCACUCCUAACGCCCACCAUACAUGCUUCCAAAUGUUUGCUGAAUAACAAGGUGAAGGAGUGAAUGGGACUGCGUGACUUUGGGCAGCAGGCAAUCCUAUUCCUUGGACCUCAGUUUCCCUUUUUGUAAAGCAAGCCUGUAUCUCGCUCUCUGCCCUAGAAGCCUGAGUUCUGGGCUUGAGAUGAGCGUGUCCUGUAGAGCAGACUCCAAGUGGACGUUGAGCUGGGUCUUCUAGGAGGGCAGAAUCCCGCCAGCUCUUGGGUCCCGUUCUCCCGCUGCACCCUGCACGCCCAGUCUCAGCGUCGCCCCGCCCAACUUCCGUUUGUUCCCCAGGCCCCGCCCUCUCCGCGAAGCUCGCUCCCCAUUGGCCGGGGAACGGGCCCUGGGCGGCCGGCUCCGCCGGGGGCGGGGCGGCGGGCGGGGCCGUGUGCGCCUGCGCGGUGUGUGUCCCCGCCUCAGCCCCGCGCCAGCUGCAUCUCAGUGAUCCCAGCCGGAUCCUGAGCCGGGAACACGGGCUGAAGCGGCGGCGGCGGCCCCGCCCCGGGCUUCAUUGUCGAGGCUGCCGCGGCUCUGUCGGCUGCUCUGCUGCGCUCCAGUCGGUCCAGGCGCCGCGGCCAGGAGCGAGCGGUGCGAGGCGGCGGCCUGAGGCCUCCCUGAGUUGUGUACAACAGAGAGCUCAGGUGUUGGGGGCAGUUGACCGGUUGAAGAAUGCAUUGCUAUGA
rnacentral:lncRNA from 1 species